GGCGGAAUGGCCGAGCGGUCUAAGGCGUUGGACUUAAGUUCCAAUAUCGAAUACGAUGCGUGGGUUCGAACCCCACUUCCGUCA
rnacentral:tRNA from 1 species